rnacentral:misc_RNA from 1 species
AGUGGACAACUAACUCUUGGCAUGAGAUCAGGAGGGGGCAGGAAGUAGAAAUCAGACUCACUAAAACAGGAGGCCCAACCAAGGGGUCAGGGAUUCAGUGAUGGACAGCAUUAACUCUCGUCUUUACCAGCUUUGUGAAUAAUGACAAACAUAUGGAUCAAAGUGUAAACCGAUAUGUAUAGGUUCUCAGUUCUGUAUAAAAUCUUACUCUGUCAGAAACAAUAGAAACCAAAGCAACUUUGCCACUUUUAUAAGGUUCUUUCGUUUAUCACGGAAAUAAUAGUGUUAUUUUUUUAGUUAUGGCAAAUUUUACAUAGAAUGAUUAUGAUUUGUAAUGAACGAAUAGGCAAGUUGUUAAUUGUCAUUGUGUAAUUCAGAUCUAACAAGGUAAACACUGGGUAUUUUUAUUAAUGUAUCAUUUGACACAGAAAAUGUACCUGUACUUUGUGUAUCAUUUUGUUCCCAAGACAAGUGCAAUAUAUUGUAAGUUGAAUAUUAUCAUUACAUGCUAGCUAAAUGUAUAAUGUAUAUACAUGUAUGAUGUGUUUUGGCAUUGCAUAUUAUUGUAUAUAGAUUCAUAUAAAUUUCCCCAUAAUAUAUAUUAGAUAAUAUGUAAUUGACAUGAUGUAAAGUUGUACUGGAUAAAGAAACAGGUACGUGUAGAACAUUUAAAGCUACAGUAUUUGUGAUAUAGAUCUGAAUGCGUAAAUUUUUACUAUGUCUAAGUAAAGUAUGUGCAUGUACUUAAUGUUUUUCUACAUGAAAUAUUAAUUAACGUAAACUUGAAUAAAUGAAGUUAUUCAAAUGU